rnacentral:rRNA from 1 species
ACCAGACUCCUACGGGAGGCAGCAGUGGGGGAUAUUGCACAAUGGGGGGAACCCUGAUGCAGCGACGCCGCGUGGGUGAAGAAGCGCCUCGGCGCGUAAAGCCCUGUCAGCAGGGAAGAAAAUGACGGUACCUGAAGAAGAAGCCCCGGCUAACUACGUGCCAGCAGCCGCGGUAAUACGUAGGGGGCAAGCGUUAUCCGGAUUUACUGGGUGUAAAGGGGGCGCAGACGGCGAUGCAAGCCAGGAGUGAAAGCCCGGGGCCCAACCCCGGGACUGCUCUUGGAACUGCGUGGCUGGAGUGCAGGAGGGGCAGGCGGAAUUCCUGGUGUAGCGGUGAAAUGCGUAGAUAUCAGGAGGAACACCGGCGGCGAAGGCGGCCUGCUGGACCGUAACUGACGUUGAGGCUCGAAAGCGUGGGGAGCAAACAGGAUUAGAUACCCGAGUA